AGUGAACGCUGGCGGUAGGCCUAACACAUGCAAGUCGAACGGCAGCACAGUAAGAGCUUGCUCUUACGGGUGGCGAGUGGCGGACGGGUGAGGAAUACAUCGGAAUCUACUUUUUCGUGGGGGAUAACGUAGGGAAACUUACGCUAAUACCGCAUACGGCCUACGGGUGAAAGCAGGGGAUCUUCGGACCUUGCGCGAUUGAAUGAGCCGAUGUCGGAUUAGCUAGUUGGCGGGGUAAAGGCCCACCAAGGCGACGAUCCGUAGCUGGUCUGAGAGGAUGAUAAGCCACACUGGAACUGAGACACGGUCCAGACUCCUACGGGAGGCAGCAGUGGGGAAUAUUGGACAAUGGGCGCAAGCCUGAUCCAGCCAUACCGCGUGGGUGAAGAAGGCCUUCGGGUUGUAAAGCCCUUUUGUUGGGAAAGAAAAGCAGCAGGUUAAUACCCCGCUGUUCUGACGGUACCCAAAGAAUAAGCACCGGCUAACUUCGUG
rnacentral:rRNA from 1 species